UGUCCAGGGAUGGGAGCCGAACCCACAAUGUUCCGCUUACCGGGCAGAUGCCAUGUCCACUAGGCUACCCUAGAC